rnacentral:rRNA from 1 species
GACGAACGCUGGCGGCGUGCCUAAUACAUGCAAGUCGAGCGCAGGAAGCUGACGGAACUCUUCGGAGGGAAGGCAGUGGAAUGAGCGGCGGACGGGUGAGUAACACGUAAGGAACCUGCCUCAAGGAUUGGGAUAACUCCGAGAAAUCGGAGCUAAUACCGGAUAGUUCAACGGACCGCAUGGUCCGCUGAUGAAAGGCGCUUCGGCGUCACCUUGAGAUGGCCUUGCGGUGCAUUAGCUAGUUGGUGGGGUAACGGCCCACCAAGGCGACGAGGCAUAGCCGACCUGGGAGGGUGAUCGGCCACACUGGGACUGAGACACGGCCUAGACUCCUACGGGAGGCGGCAGUAGGGAAUCUUCCACAAGGGACGAAAGUCUGAUGGAGCAACGCCGCGUGAGUGAUGAAGGUUUUCGGAUCGUAAAACUCUGUUGUAAGGGAAGAACACGUACGAGAGGGAAUGCUCGUACCUUGACGGUACCUUACGAGAAAGCCACGGCUAACUACGUGCCAGCCGCCGCAGUAA